ACCCACACAUUUACCCAACCCAACCCAACCCAACCCAACGUAUAUAUCCACAAUCCAUAAUAUCCAUUUACCCAUAACCAAAAUUCCCAGAUCUGAAUCCUAGGGCUUGCUCGACUGCUCUUCAAUCUCAGUCUCACCUCCAUCUCUACGUGAUUUCGUCCGCUGCCGAAUGCUCCAGUCUCUCUCCUCCUCUUUUCCAGUUUCCUUCUUCGCCAGAUGCUGGUUUGCUUCGCCCCUAUUAGUCUAUUUGGUUUUUUUUCUUUUCAAACCUUUUUGUUAGAAUUGGACAACGAAAACCAGAAGUUUGUGAGUGAUUAUACUCAAUGCUUUGGAUUUGUAUUGCUUGAGAGUAAUUUCUUGGCUAUACAAAGCUUUGGAAUUUUAACAAAAAUGUCCGUUGGUGAAGGUUACAGAACAGUGAGUCAGUGACGGCCUUGAUUUGCAAUUAACUAUUGCUUUACUUGCGUGGUUAUUGGUUAACCGUUAACAUGUGGCUGUAUAUUCCAUUGUGGUUUUGUGAUUGGAUUAUGGACAUUAGAAAUUUAAUUGAAUAGAUAUAAAUUUUCAUAAUUUCAAUAUAUUUGUCUUAAUGUACUUACAAUUAUUUAUUAUUAGCCACUUUUAAAUUUCUGAUAAAAAAAAUUACACUUCCUAUAUUGCUAUUUUAGUAAUCAGAUUGUAAAAGCUUUGCCGUUGCAACUCCUUCACUUAGUGAUCUGAUCCAAACAAAGAAAAGUAGACGGCAGAGGCGGAGAGAAACUAAAACGUUUUUUAAAGAAAUUGUGAAAAAAGAGAGAGAGAAAAUGAGUCAGAGAAGAUCCAUAAGUGGAAGGCCAUUGGGAACUGACGGCUCUGAUUUCUCCUACCGCAUGGUCGUCGACUCCAGUGAGAAACAAAUAGGCAGUAAUAAAAUAGAGGAUACCAAUCAGUGCAACAUCAUGAUCAGGGAGGGCUUCGACAAGAUCUAAGUCCGGCAUUUGGCAGGCAGAUAUAAAUGUGGACUUCACAUCUUCAUGUGUUACACUACCUACCUGAGAAAAGUAUUUUGUCUUCAAUUGUGACGGUCUACUUUCAAAAAUACUGAUGUCACUAUUGCCGGAACAUCUCAAUCCCGUGACCAGACAAAACUCAGCUAUAGAAAAUCUUACAUAUCGCUCGGCAACUAAAAACCACAAUUCUUCAGGAUUGGGUUGAUAUAC
rnacentral:lncRNA from 1 species